rnacentral:rRNA from 1 species
CCUACGGGAGGCAGCAGUGAGGAAUAUUGGUCAAUGGACGAGAGUCUGAACCAGCCAAGUAGCGUGAAGGAUGACUGCCCUAUGGGUUGUAAACUUCUUUUAUAUGGGAAUAAAACGUUCCACGUGUGGGAUUUUGUAUGUACUUUAUGAAUAAGGAUCGGCUAACUCCGUGCCAGCAGCCGCGGUAAUACGGAGGAUCCGAGCGUUAUCCGGAUUUAUUGGGUUUAAAGGGAGCGUAGGUGGGUUGUUAAGUCAGUUGUGAAAGUUUGCGGCUCAACCGUAAAAUUGCAGUUGAAACUGGCAGUCUUGAGUACAGUAGAGGUGGGCGGAAUUCGUGGUGUAGCGGUGAAAUGCUUAGAUAUCACGAAGAACUCCGAUUGCGAAGGCAGUUCACUGAACUGCAACUGACACUGAGGCUCGAAAGUGUGGGUAUCAAACAGGAUUAGAUACCCCAGUAGUC